rnacentral:rRNA from 1 species
CCUACGGGUGGCAGCAGUGAGGAAUAUUGGUCAAUGGGCGGAAGCCUGAACCAGCAAAGUAGCGUGCAGGAUGACGGCCCUACGGGUGGUAAACUGCUUUUAUACGGGAAUAACGCGCCUUACGUGUAGGGCUUUGCAUGUACCGUAUGAAUAAGGACCGGCUAAUUCCGUGCCAGCAGCCGCGGUAAUACGGAAGGUCCGGGCGUUGUCCGGAUUGAUUGGGUUGAAAGGGAGCGUAGGCCGCAUGUCAAGCGUGCUGUGAAAUGUCCGGGCUCAACCCGGGCCUGGCAGCGCGAACUGGCGUGCUUGAGUCCGCAGAAAGCGGGCGGAAUUCGUCGUGUAGCGGUGAAAUGCGUAGAUAUGACGAAGAACCCCGAUUGCGAAGGCAGCUUGCUGCAGCGGAACUGACGCUGAUGCUCGAAAGCGCGGGUAUCGAACAGGAUUAGAUACCCGAGUAGUC